rnacentral:lncRNA from 1 species
UGCAACAAGUUCUACAUUAGUAGACGUGUCUUAAAAUUGAUAUGUGAUGACCCAAAUCAAAGUCAAUUAUGCUUUUUCGACUUUUAUUCAAGACAUUUGAAUUCUUAUCCAAUUUAGAUAUUUCAACCCACAUCAUUUUUAAACAAGUAGAAAGACAUUAACUCAUUUUUUGACAGAUGGCAGUAGUACACCUAAUGUACAUUUUCCAUUUGUUAAAAAAUGUGUGUCAAUGUAUUAAAAAUAUAUGGAAAGACACGGCUGGAAAAUCAACAAAUCUCAACUCUUGGCUUAAUACCACAACCAUAUUUGAUAUCAUGUAGUCUAGAACCCAUCUAUAACAACGGACAAUCUCAUUGGCUUCGUAUAUAAUUUAUUUUAUUUCUUUGGAUGUUUCAGAAGAGAAUUUUGGUGACAUUCCAAUUGCAUUACACAUUUGAAAUGUGCAAUUCCAGCUAAACAAACCUCUUUAGAUAUACGUAUUGUCUACAGGCGUGACCUAGAUGUUGAGAUUUCUGAAGCAGGUGCACUCUGCAUAGGAGAAAAUUANNN